rnacentral:rRNA from 1 species
AGUGAACGCUGGCGGUAGGCCUAACACAUGCAAGUCGAACGGCAGCACAGUAAGAGCUUGCUCUUACGGGUGGCGAGUGGCGGACGGGUGAGGAAUACAUCGGAAUCUACUUUUUCGUGGGGGAUAACGUAGGGAAACUUACGCUAAUACCGCAUACGACCUACGGGUGAAAGCAGGGGAUCUUCGGACCUUGCGCGAUUGAAUGAGCCGAUGUCGGAUUAGCUAGUUGGCGGGGUAAAGGCCCACCAAGGCGACGAUCCGCAGCUGGUCUGAGAGGAUGGUCGGCCACAUUGGAAGUGAGACACGGUCCAGACUCCUACGGGAGGCAGCAGUGGGGAAUAUUGGACAAUGGGGGCAAGCCUGAUCCAGCCAUACCGCGUGGGUGAAGAAGGCCUUCGGGUUGUAAAGACCUUUUGUUGGGAAAGAAAAGCAGCAGGUUAAUACCCCGCUGUUCUGACGGUACCCAAAGAAUAAGCACCGGCUAACUUCGUG